AACACGACUCUCGGCAACGGAUAUCUUGGCUCUCGCAUCGAUGAAGAACGUAGCGAAAUGCGAUACCUGGUGUGAAUUGCAGAAUCCCGCGAACCAUCGAGUCUUUGAACGCAAGUUGCGCCCGAGGCCACUCGGUCGAGGGCACGCCUGCCUGGGCGUCACGC
rnacentral:rRNA from 1 species